UGCUAGUAAAGGUGGGGGCCUAGAGUUUAGAGGAACAAGUCUGCUUGGCCGAAAGCAUUUAGCUCCAAAUGAUCUGUUCCAAAGUCCUCCUGUCUUCCAUUGCUCAACCUGCCUUCCGCCCUUUGCUUAUUGAUUUACAGUGUGCAGUGAGCAGAUCCUGACUAACUCAGGAAGCAGGACAAUGAUUCCUGCUGUGAUCUGCCUAAUUCAAUUACUAAGUACCCCGGAAGAUCAAGAAUUUGUGCUGUAGCUGAGAGGAAAGGUUUGCUUUGGGACCUGGUGCCACCUGCUGGUUGGUCCAUGGAACUGGUGAUGUAAUUGGUUCUUCCUGAACCCGCCAUCGCUGAAAUCCGGAAGAGGUCAUGCAGGACUUCUCUGAAAACAGGAGCCACAGCAAGAACUUUUCCCUCUGGCCCAUUCUUUCCUACCUCUAGCCUCCAAAAUCGGUGUCCGGUCAGUGGGAGCCACAUCCUGGCCCUUCCGCUCCAGCUCUUCCUCUUCCUACCGUUAACUCUAGAGAGACAGUAAGUCCCCAACGCAGUACCCAGCAAUCCCUUCCAAUGAGAGGAAGAAGUUCCGAGUGAGGUGCUCAACUGUUCUGCAGCGUGAAUGACAAUGAAGUUGGCCAGGCUAUAGGGACAGAUGGGGACACUUGCAGACGGGUUUCAGGU
rnacentral:lncRNA from 1 species